UAGACCCGAAACCAGGUGAUCUACCCAUGUCCAGGAUGAAGGUAAGGUAAUACUUACUGGAGGUCCGAACCCACGCACGUUGAAAAGUGCGGGGAUGAGGUGUGGGUAGCGGAGAAAUUCCAAUCGAACUUGGAGAUAGCUGGUUCUCUCCGAAAUAGCUUUAGGGCUAGCCUCGAGGUAAAGAGUCAUGGAGGUAGAGCACUGUUUGGACUAGGGGCCCUUCUCGGGUUACCGAAUUCAGAUAAACUCCGAAUGCCAUGUACUUAUACUCGGGAGUCAGACUGCGAGUGAUAAGAUCCGUAGUCGAAAGGGAAACAGCCCAGACCACCAGUUAAGGUCCCCAAAUAUAUGUUAAGUGGAAAAGGAUGUGGGGUUGCUUAGACAACCAGGAUGUUGGCUUAGAAGCAGCCACCAUUGAAAGAGUGCGUAAUAGCUCACUGGUCGAGUGACCCCGCGCCGAAAAUGUACCGGGGCUAAACAUAUUACCGAAACUGUGGAUGAACCUCUUUAGAGGUUCGUGGUAGGAGAGCGUUCUAAGGGCGGUGAAGUCAGACCGGAAGGACUGGUGGAGCGCUUAGAAGUGAGAAUGCCGGUAUGAGUAGCGAAAGAAGGGUGAGAAUCCCUUCCACCGAAUAUCUAAGGUUUCCUGAGGAAGGCUCGUCCGCUCAGGGUUAGUCGGGACCUAAGCCGAGGCCGAUAGGCGUAGGCGAUGGACAACAGGUAGAGAUUCCUGUACCAGUGCUAAUUGUUUAACCGAUGGGGUGACACAGAAGGAUAGGGAAUCGCACGAAUGGAAAUGUGCGUCCAAGCAGUGAGUGUGAGAAGUAGGCAAAUCCGCUUCUCGCGAAGCAUGAGCUGUGAUGGGGAAGGAAAUUAAGUACGGAAGUUCCUGAUUUCACGCUGUCAAGAAAAGCCUCUAGGAAGAGUAGUACUGCCCGUACCGCAAACCGACACAGGUAGAUGAGGAGAGAAUCCUAAGGUGAGCGAGAGAACUCUCGUUAAGGAACUCGGCAAAAUGACCCCGUAACUUCGGGAGAAGGGGUGCUCUAUUAGGGUGCAAGCCCGAGAGAGCCGCAGUGAAUAGGCCCAGGCGACUGUUUAGCAAAAACACAGGUCUCUGCAAAACCGUAAGGUGACGUAUAGGGGCUGACGCCUGCCCGGUGCUGGAAGGUUAAGAGGAGUGCUUAGCUUCGGCGAAGGUACGAAUUGAAGCCCCAGUAAACGGCGGCCGUAACUAUAACGGUCCUAAGGUAGCGAAAUUCCUUGUCGGGUAAGUUCCGACCCGCACGAAAGGCGCAACGAUCUGGGCACUGUCUCAACGAGAGACUCGGUGAAAUUAUAGUACCUGUGAAGAUGCAGGUUACCCGCGACAGGACGGAAAGACCCCGUGGAGCUUUACUGCAACCUGAUAUGGAAUGUUUGUACCGCUUGUACAGGAUAGGUAGGAGCCGAAGAGACGUGUGCGCUAGCAUACGAGGAGGCAAUGGUGGGAUACUACCCUGGCUGUAUGACCAUUCUAACCCGCCACGCUUAGCGCGUGGGGAGACAGUGUCAGGUGGGCAGUUUGACUGGGGCGGUCGCCUCCUAAAGAGUAACGGAGGCGCCCAAAGGUUCCCUCAGAAUGGAUGGAAAUCAUUCGCAGAGUGUAAAGGCACAAGGGAGCUUGACUGCGAGACUGACAAGUCGAGCAGGGACGAAAGUCGGGCUUAGUGAUCCGGUGGUUCCGCAUGGAAGGGCCAUCGCUCAACGGAUAAAAGCUACCCCGGGGAUAACAGGCUUAUCUCCCCCAAGAGUCCACAUCGACGGGGAGGUUUGGCACCUCGAUGUCGGCUCGUCGCAUCCUGGGGCUGUAGUCGGUCCCAAGGGUUGGGCUGUUCGCCCAUUAAAGCGGCACGCGAGCUGGGUUCAGAACGUCGUGAGACAGUUCGGUCCCUAUCCGUCGCGGGCGCAGGAAAUUUGAGAGGAGCUGUCCUUAGUACGAGAGGACCGGGAUGGACACACCGCUGGUGUACCAGUUGUUCCGCCAGGAGCAUCGCUGGGUAGCUAUGUGUGGCAGGGAUAAACGCUGAAAGCAUCUAAGCGUGAAGCCCCCCUCAAGAUGAGAUUUCCCAUUUCUUCGGAAAGUAAGAUCCCUGAAAGAUGAUCAGGUAGAUAGGUUUGGAGUGGAAGUGUAGCGAUACAUGGAGCGGACAAAUACUAAUCGAUCGAGGACUUAACCAAAA
rnacentral:rRNA from 1 species